GAGGUGCGACGGGAAAUGAAACGCAAAUACGUAAGUAACAAAACAACACCGACAACAAGAAUUAUGUUUCUUGAUUUUUUUAUAGUUAAACUUACGGCACCACACGGUCUCAAAACAGGCAAAGACACAAUAACCCGUGAGGUGCUGGUGAAAACCAGGAACCUAAAUAGACAUCAUGAUAACUAACUCAAAACAGGUGUGUUUAGGGCGCUGCUGCCAUCUGCUCCAGCCGGCGGUUUGAACACCGGUGAGAUGAGCAUACCGGACACACCUGCAAGCUCCCGCAAUGCAGGCAUGCCCACAAGGUGUGAGGGGUUGGUCAACUGCAAUGGACACAUCCACGUGUGUCCUUACAACUGUGCAGGGAGGGGGUCUGUUGAAACUGUCAGUGUGAGGACAUUAUCAGGGGUGAUCCUGAAAUAAUGGUCAACAAGACACCCUCUGAGGAGACACCAAGUUAUGUAAGAAGCAUGAUGUUGAAUUGUAUUUGGACUUCAUUCUACCUGCGACCUGUGACCUGGGUAACUGUCAGUUUGAUGCCAUUCUGGGCCAGAGACAUCAUAUCUGUAACAUUUUGACUUGAUGCAGUCUGUACAGCACCACUAGCCAGGAUAACAGGAGAA
ensembl:lncRNA